rnacentral:rRNA from 1 species
UACGGGGGGGAGCAAGCGUUGUUCGGAUUUACUGGGCGUAAAGGGCGCGUAGGCGGCUUUGUAAGUCGGGGGUGAAAGCCUGUGGCUCAACCACAGAAUUGCCUUCGAUACUGCAUGGCUUGAGACCGGAAGAGGUAAGUGGAACUGCGAGUGUAGAGGUGAAAUUCGUAGAUAUUCGCAAGAACACCAGUGGCGAAGGCGGCUUACUGGUCCGGUUCUGACGCUGAGGCGCGAAAGCUAGGGGAGCAAACGGG